rnacentral:rRNA from 1 species
UACGUAGGGUGCGAGCGUUGUCCGGAAUUAUUGGGCGUAAAGAGCUUGUAGGCGGUCUGUCGCGUCUGCUGUGAAAAUCCGGGGCUCAACCCCCGGACUUGCAGUGGGUACGGGGCAGACUAGAGUGUGGUAGGGGGAGACUGGAAUUCCUGUGUAGCGGUGAAAUGCGCAGAUAUCAGGAGGAACACCGAUGGCGAAGGCAGGUCUCUGGGCCACUACUGACUGAGAAGCGAA